AACGCUAGCUACAGGCUUAACACAUGCAAGUCGAGGGGUAACAAGAGGAAAGCUUGCUUUUCUUGUUGACGACCGGCGCACGGGUGAGUAACGCGUAUCCAACCUGCCUAUAACUAGGGAAUAACCUUGCGAAAGUAAGACUAAUACCCUAUGAUUUCCUUUGAUGACAUCAGAUUAGGAAUAAAGAUUCAUCGGUUAUAGAUGGGGAUGCGUCUGAUUAGCUUGUUGGCGGGGUAACGGCCCACCAAGGCAACGAUCAGUAGGGGUUCUGAGAGGAAGGUCCCCCACAUUGGAACUGAGACACGGUCCAAACUCCUACGGGAGGCAGCAGUGAGGAAUAUUGGUCAAUGGGCGGAAGCCUGAACCAGCCAAGUAGCGUGCAGGAUGACGGCCCUAUGGGUUGUAAACUGCUUUUAUACAGGGAUAAAGUUAGCCACGUGAGGUUAUUUGCAGGUACUGUAUGAAUAAGGACCGGCUAAUUCCGUGCCAGCAGCCGCGGUAAUACGGAAGGUCCAGGCGUUAUCCGGAUUUAUUGGGUUUAAAGGGAGCGUAGGCCGUCUGUUAAGCGUGUUGUGAAAUGUAGAUGCUCAACAUCUGAAUUGCAGCGCGAACUGGCAGACUUGAGUGUGCGCAACGUAGGCGGAAUUCGUGGUGUAGCGGUGAAAUGCUUAGAUAUCACGAAGAACUCCGAUUG
rnacentral:rRNA from 1 species